rnacentral:rRNA from 1 species
UACGGAGGGUGCAAGCGUUAUCCGGAUUCACUGGGUUUAAAGGGUGCGUGGGUGGGCAGGUAAGUCAGUGGUGAAAUCUUUGGGCUUAACCCGAAAACUGCCAUUGAUACUAUCUGUCUUGAAUGUUGUGGAGGUGAGCGGAAUAUGUCAUGUAGCGGUGAAAUGCUUAGAUAUGACAUAGAACAUCGAUUGCGAAGGCAGCUCACUACGCAAAUAUUGACACUGAGACGCGAAAGCGUGGGGAGCAAACAGG